AAAAAAACAAAAAUUGAAUUUCAUUUUUGUUACCCACUUCUUGGAAAAGUGUUGAAGGAACCGAUAUGUCAACCAUAAUUUCAUUUGCUAAAAUACAUGCAUUUGAAUAAUCUUGUGUGUAGACGAAUACAAGUGAAAAUAUGUUAGCAAUGCCUUGUGUGGUGAAAUGUAUCAUAAUUUUUUUUCUUUUACUAUUUGUGAGCUACAAUAAUUAUCAACAAGGUCUCAAUUUGGCAAAAUGAAGAGUUCAACGACAACACUUACGGGUUUUAUAUAUACUUUGGUUUGAUGUGUAGUUUACUGGGACUAUAAUAUAUCACUUUUCCAAUUUUUUGUCAAAUCUCAAUGGUUGAUGGUAAUCAAACAUUUGAUAAUUAGAGUAAACAAAAGAAGGCAAGCCUUAAUGAAGCACAUGACAUGCCCAUCAGUUUUGAAGAUCCAUCAAUACAUUAGAAGC
rnacentral:lncRNA from 1 species